rnacentral:rRNA from 1 species
GCGAAAGCGUGGGGAGCAAACAGGAUUAGAUACCUUGUAGUCCACGCUGUAAACGAUGUCGAUUUGGAGGUUGUUCCCUUGAGGAGUGGCUUCCGGAGCUAACGCGUUAAAUCGACCGCCUGGGGAGUACGGCCGCAAGGUUAAAACUCAAAUGAAUUGACGGGGGCCCGCACAAGCGGUGGAGCAUGUGGUUUAAUUCGAUGCAACGCGAAGAACCUUACCUACUCUUGACAUCCAGAGAAUUUAGCAGAGAUGCUUUAGUGCCUUCGGGAACUCUGAGACAGGUGCUGCAUGGCUGUCGUCAGCUCGUGUUGUGAAAUGUUGGGUUAAGUCCCGCAACGAGCGCAACCCUUAUCCUUUGUUGCCAGCACAUUAUGGUGGGAACUCAAAGGAGACUGCCGGUGAUAAACCGGAGGAAGGUGGGGAUGACGUCAAGUCAUCAUGGCCCUUACGAGUAGGGCUACACACGUGCUACAAUGGCGUAUACAAAGAGAAGCGACCUCGCGAGAGCAAGCGGAACUCAUAAAGUACGUCGUAGUCCGGAUUGGAGUCUGCAACUCGACUCCAUGAAGUCGGAAUCGCUAGUAAUCGUAGAUCAGAAUGCUACGGUGAAUACGUUCCCGGGCCUUGUACACACCGCCCGUCACACCAUGGGAGUGGGUUGCAAAAGAAGUAGGUAGCUUAACCUUCGGGAGGGCGCUUACCACUUUGUGAUUCAUGACUGGGGUGAAGUCGUAACAAGGUAACCA